rnacentral:misc_RNA from 1 species
GAUGAAGAACGCAGCGAAAUGCGAUAGGUAAUGUGAAUUGCAGAAUUCAGUGAAUCAUCGAAUCUUUGAACGCACAUUGCGCCCUCUGGUAUUCCGGGGGGCAUGCCUGUCCGAGCGUCAUUUGCAACCCUCAAGCCCGGCUUGUGUGAUGGGUGCCGUCCCCUACGGGACGCGCCCCGAAGGCAAUGGCGGCGUCGCGGUUAUCCGAUCAGCCAAAGUGUAUGGGGCUUUGUCACUCACUUUACGGCCCGGACCGGCGCCAGUCCGAAUCAAUCUUUUUUCUAAAGUUGACCUCGGAUCAGGUAGGGAUACCCGCUGAACUUAAGCAUAUCAAUAAGCGGAGGA